CUAAGAAUCUGCCUGGUAGUGGGGGAUAACGUCCUUAAACGAACGCUAAUACCGCAUACGUCCUACAGGAGAAAGCAGGGGACCUUCGGGCCUUGCGCUAUCAGAUGAGCCUAGGUCAGAUUAGCUAGUUGGUGAGGUAAUGGCUCACCAAGGCGACGAUCCGUAACUGGUCUGAGAGGAUGAUCAGUCACACUGGAACUGAGACACGGUCCAGACUCCUACGGGAGGCAGCAGUGGGGAAUAUUGCACAAUGGGCGAAAGCCUGAUCCAGCCAUGCCGCGUGUGUGAAGAAGGUCUUCGGAUUGUAAAGCACUUUAAGUUGGGAGGAAGGGCAUUAACCUAAUACGUUAGUGUUUUGACGUUACCGACAGAAUAAGCACCGGCUAACUCUGUGCCAGCAGCCGCGGUAAUACAGAGGGUGCAAGCGUUAAUCGGAAUUACUGGGCGUAAAGCGCGCGUAGGUGGUUUGUUAAGUUGGAUGUGAAAUCCCCGGGCUCAACCUGGGAACUGCAUUCAAAACUGACUGACUAGAGUAUGGUAGAGGGUGGUGGAAUUUCCUGUGUAGCGGUGAAAUGCGUAGAUAUAGGAAGGAACACCAGUGGCGAAGGCGACCACCUGGACUAAUACUGACACUGAGGUGCGACAGCGUGAGGAGCAAACAGGAUUAGAUACGCUGGUAGUCCACGCCGUAAACGAUGUCAGCUAGCCGGUGGAAGCCUUGAUCUUUUACUGGCGCAACUAACGCAUUAAAUUGACUGCCUGG
rnacentral:rRNA from 1 species